CAUGUAAGCAGUCAUCCAUCCUUCUAAGGGAGGAGGAAGGAAGAAUGAAGAGCAGGGUCACAACUCUCUUGAGACAGGUGUGGUGUGAGGUCAACCCCUGAAGAUGCUGAUGCUUCUGCUGCUUCUGAGCCCCAGUUUAGGACUUGGUGCUCUCGUCUCUCAACAUCCAAGCAAGGCUAUCUGUAUGAAUGGAACCUCUGUGAAGAUCGAGUGCCGAGCAAUGGACUUUCAGGCCCAAACUAUGUUUUGGUAUCGUCAGUUGCCGAAACAGGGCCUCACACUGAUGGUAGCUUCAAGUGACAACUCCAGCAUCACAUAUGAACAAGGUUUUACCAGGGCCAAAUUUCCCAUCAACCAUCUCAACCGAACAUUUUCAACUCUGACAGUGAUGAGUGUGCAUCCUGCUGACAGCGGCCUCUACUUCUGCAGUGCUAGUGACACAGUGCUGGGCAGAUCUCAGAGACCCAAACAAGAUCCUCUGCAGCAGCCCCCUCUUUCUCACCCCACCAAACCCCUGGAGCCCUGUGGAAGGAGGUGUAGAGAGAGGAAAACCACAGCUUCCCUUUAAGACAUCUGUGAGUCUGUGUGUGUAUGUGUGUUUGUGUGUGUGUGCGUAUAAAAAAAGAGAAAGAAAAAAAUAUCUGAGUGUGAAAUGUGGAGAAGUGGUGUGUUUGCAAGCUAGACAAAUAGAAUGGAACUGGGUCCAUAAAGCGGCCAA